rnacentral:rRNA from 1 species
UACGUAGGGGGCUAGCGUUGUCCCGGAUUUAUUGGGCGUAAAGAGCGUGUAGGCGGCCAUGUAGGUCCGCUGUGAAAUCUCGAGGCUCAACUUCGAGCUGUCGGUGGAAACUGUCUGGCUAGAGUCCGGAAGAGGAGAAUAGAAUUCCUGGUGUAGCGGUGAAAUGCGUAGAGAUCGGGAGGAACACCAGUGGCGAAGGCGGCCCCCUGGGCCGUUCCUGACGCUGAGACGCGAAGGCGCC